CCAGAAGAAGCCCUUUAAAGGAACCCCCUACGAGACCAUGUUGGAAAUGAGGUUUGGGUUAUCAUUCAGCGAAUGAGGCAGGGUAGAUGCACGCUGCUGGGUUUAGAAACAAACAAACAAACAAACAACAACAACAAAAAAUGAGCAAGCGAGACGCCCCUUCCGUUUUAUGAGAACCAGGCUGCAAGCAAAUAAGUCGGCUGGCCCCACUGCAAUCUUCUGCACUCGAGCACCAAGAGAUCCUGUUCCUAUCAAUUACAGAAGUCAUAAAGAAAAGUUUUAAGAAGUUAAAACUUUACCAUAAUGAGGCUUUCUUCUUAGGAUGCAUUGACUCCUUGGAUCCUUACAAGUCGUGGAUGUUCCUCUUAGAAAUAAGGCCAUUCCUACUCCUGUCCAAUACAUGUCCAUGGAAUUGGUCAUCUCCAAACAUCAUCAUCAUUAUCUUCA